rnacentral:rRNA from 1 species
AUUGAACGCUGGCGGCAGGCUUAACACAUGCAAGUCGAGCGGGGUGAUGGUGCUUGCACUAUCACUUAGCGGCGGACGGGUGAGUAAUGCUUAGGAAUCUGCCUAUUAGUGGGGGACAACAUCUCGAAAGGGAUGCUAAUACCGCAUACGUCCUACGGGAGAAAGCAGGGGAUCACUUGUGACCUUGCGCUAAUAGAUGAGCCUAAGUCGGAUUAGCUAGUUGGUGGGGUAAAGGCCUACCAAGGCGACGAUCUGUAGCGGGUCUGAGAGGAUGAUCCGCCAAACUGGGACUGAGACACGGCCCAGACUCCUACGGGAGGCAGCAGUGGGGAAUAUUGGACAAUGGGGGGAACCCUGAUCCAGCCAUGCCGCGUGUGUGAAGAAGGCCUUAUGGUUGUAAACUGCUUUUGUACAGAACGAAAAGGUUUCUACUAAUACUAGGAGCUCAUGACGGUACUGUAAGAAUAAGCACCGGCUAACUACGUGCCAGCAGCCGCGGUAA